GCCCGCCCGCGCCUCCAUCCGGGUCCUGGCGCGGUGCUCUCCCGGCAGCGACGGGCGCGAGGGCCGGGGCAUUCCCACGGCCGCGACGGCCCUCUCCGCGAGCGCGAGGAAACCAGGAUUACCGAGGAGGAAAAAAAGCCUUCCUGUGGUGCUCAACUGUGAUUCCUUUUCACCAUUCACCCUGGAUGUUCUCUUCACUGUGGGAUGAGGAUGUACAUGAAGCAUGGCACCAACAGCUGCUCCUGUGAGGCCUCAAGAAGCUUACAAUCGUGGCAGAAGCUGAAGGGGGAGCCAGCGUGUGGCAUGGCAAGGGAAGGAGCAAGAGAGAGAGGGAGGAGCUGCCAGGCUCUUGAACAACCAGAUCUCACGUGAACUCACAGAUUGAAAUUCACUCAUUACUGUGAGGACACACCAAGCCAUUUAUGAGGGAUGCACCCCUAUGACCCAAACACCUCCUACUAGGCCCACCUCCAACAUCAGAGGUCACAUGAAACGAGAUGUAUAGGGGACAAAACAGUCAAACCAUAUCAGUCCCACCAGCAAGAAGGCUCUCACUGGAUGUGGUCCCUUGAUCUUGGACUUCUCAGCCUCUGUAACUGUAAAAAAUAAAUUUUGUUUCUUAUAAAUUA
rnacentral:lncRNA from 1 species